rnacentral:rRNA from 1 species
GGAGUUUGAUCCUGGAUCACGACGAACGCUGGCGGCGUGCCUAAUACAUGCAAGUACAACGCUGAAGGAAGGAGCUUGCUCUUUCCGGAUGAUUUGCGAACGGGUGAGUAACGCGUAGGUAGCCUGCCUGGCAGCGGGGGAUAACUAUUGGAAACGAUAGCUAAUACCGCAUAACACUUCAUAUCGCAUGAUAGCUGCUUGAAAGGUGCAAUUGCACCACUACCAGAUGGACCUGCGUUGUAUUAGCUAGUUGGUGAGGUAACGGCUCACCAAGGCAACGAUACAUAGCCCACCUGAGAGGGGGAUCGGCCACACUGGGACUGACACACGGCCCAGACUCCUACGGGAGGCAGCACUAGGGAAUCUUCCGCAAUGGACGGAAGUCUGACCGAGCAACGCCGCGUGAGUGAAGAAGGUUUUCGGAUCGUAAAGCUCUGUUGUAAGAGAAGAACGAGUGUGAGAGUGGAAAGUUCACACUGUGACGGUAUCUUACCCUAAAGGGACGGCUAACUACGUGCCAGCAGCCGCGGUAAUACGUAUGUCCCGAGCGUUGUCCGGAUUUAUUGGGCGUAAAGCGAGCGCAGGCGGCUAGAUAAGUCUGAAGUUUAAGGCUGUGGCUUAACCAUACUACGCUGUGGAAACUGUGUAACUUGAGUGCAAGAGGGGAGAGUGGAAUUCCAUGUGUAGCGGUGAAAUGCGUAGAUAUAUGGAGGAACACCGGUGGCGAACGCGGCUCUCUGGCUUGUAUCUGACGCUGAGGCUCGAAGCGUGCGGAGCAGACACGAUCAGAUACGCUGUAGUCCACGCCGUAACGAUGAGUGCUAUGUGUUAGACCUCUCUGUGUUCACUGACGCUAGCUGACUGCAUUAUGCACUCCGCCUGGGGGGGUACGACCGCAAGCUUGUACUACAAAGUGAUUGUACUGCGGGCUCCGCCCCAGCUGUUCGAGCAUGUUGUUCUAAAUCACAGCUAGCCCCAACAUCUUACCACGGCUGUCGAUACCUCUGUACGGCUCUGCAGAUAUAAGUCUUUCA